rnacentral:rRNA from 1 species
AACGUUGUUGCAGUUAAAAAGCUCGUAGUUGAAAUGAAGGGUAGUUGUGUAAUGAAUACAUUCGUGUAUUUUGUUAUUCUACUACCCUCCUUCUAAAUUCGAUAUAUGAGUAUUAAUUUACUUGUAUAUGGUUUUAGACGUUUACUGUGAGAAAAUUAGAGUGUUCAAAGCAGGCAUUUGCUUGAAUAUAUUAGCAUGGAAUAAUCAUGUAUGAUUUUCAUGAUGUAUUUGAUUGGUUUGGUUCAUGAGAAUAAGAUUAAAAGGGACAGUUGGGGGUAUUCAUAUUCAAUAGUCAGAGGUGAAAUUCUCGGAUUUAUGGAAGAUGAA